rnacentral:rRNA from 1 species
GAGUUUGAUCCUGGCUCAGGAUGAACGCUGGCGGCGUGCCUAAUACAUGCAAGUCGAGCGAACAGAUAAGGAGCUUGCUCCUUUGACGUUAGCGGCGGACGGGUGAGUAUCACGUGGGUAACCUACCCAUAAGACUGGAAUAACUCCGGGAAACCGGGGCUAAUGCCGGAUAAUAUUUAGAACCGCAUGGUUCUAAAGUGAAAGAUGGCCUUGCUAUCACUUAUGGAUGGACCCGCGCCGUAUUAGCUAGUUGGUAAGGUAACGGCUUACCAAGGCAACGAUACGUAGCCGACCUGAGAGGGUGAUCGGCCACACUGGAACUGAGACACGGUCCAGACUCCUACGGGAGGCAGCAGUAGGGAAUCUUCCGCAAUGGGCGAAAGCCUGACGGAGCAACGCCGCGUGAGUGAUGAAGGUCUUCGGAUCGUAAAGCUCUGUUAUUAGGGAAGAACAAAUGCGUAAGUAACUGUGCGCGUCUUGACGGUACCUAAUCAGAAAGCCACGGCUAGUAC